CUCCAGUUCAUUACUGUGGAAGGCAAGAUGUGUUAAACACGGCGCACUUUAUGGGGAGAGGGGAGCUGCCUUUCGAUAGAAGGAGGAAAUGUGACCCAGAGAUGGAGUCUAGCUCUGUCACCCAGGCUGGAAUUCAGUGGCGUGAUCUUGGCUCACUGCAACCUCCGCCUCCCGGGUUCAAGUGAUUCUCCUGCCUCAGCCUCCCAAGUUACUGAGAUUACAGACGUCCACCACCACAUCCAGCAACACCACUCAAUUUGAGCUCAAGUCUCUGCUGACACCAACAAAGUGAUGUCAUCAGGCGUGUUCAUCCUGCUGGAGUCCUGUUGGUGCUGGUUAUACCACUUGAACUGAGGAAAUGUAAGCCCACUUCUGGGAUUAUCUGGAAAAUCCUCCAGCACAGAACUGUGGCUGUUUCAUGACCAAGUGGAAGAGGCUACAGAUUCCCACAAAGAACUACAGGCAUGAGGAGCUUGCUCUUUAGACACUGAGGUGUCUUGAUUAUGAAGACCUUCUGAGGGUGGCUGGCAACUUUCUGACUUUUAAAUAUCUGUACCUCCUCAACACUGGCAGCUUUUCAAUUAUAUGAGGUUGUCAUGUUAGGUUUCAAAGCAUAUUUCUGUGGUUGUUACAGCCCAUGAGCCUGGGGCAGCGAUGGUCAAGACUCUGGUCGACACUUGGGAAAAGCCAUUGAGAUUUGGCCCUUUGAUCGCUUUACUGGUUUUGGACAAGUUUUGUUUUAGUGUCUUCCAAGAAUUGAUGGGAGGUGGGAGGAAAGGCAGGUGAAUGCUUUGAUGCCUAGGCUUCAGGUGUCUCCAUAGCACUUAACACCGGACGGCUGUGUGUGUGCACUCAGCACUUGGAGACGUAGGGUUUUGGGGGCUGACAGGUGCUUUCCUGUCUCUAUCUCAUCUGGAAACUUUUCAGGGACAUGAUUAAUAAGCCUAGGAUUAUUUCAUGCUAGCUUAUUGUAGGGAGAUCUGUAUAAUAUUGUAGUGAGGGUUUUUUUUUAAGUAACUAACAAUGUAAUUAUAAAUUACAUUUUGCUCUAAGUUACAGUUAUAUGUAUAUAUGUGUUUGUCUAGACAGAUAGAUAGAUAGAUAGAUAGAUAGAUAGAUAGAUAGAUAGAUAGAUAGAUGAUAGAUAGAUGGCUCUUUUGCUUUUGCGUGGCUCUGAAGGUUUUAUUUUUCAGGCACUUUGGGAAGUGACCUAGUAUGAUGGAAAGAGCAUGGAAUGGAGAUCCAGGAAUCCUGGGUUUCAGUCUAUGCUUUGAACUCAUUCGCUAGGAGAAUUUUCGUAAAUUUCCUGGCUUCUCUAGGCCUUGACUGCAUCUGUAAAAUAAGUGACUUUGAUGCUUGGGGAUUCCUGGGAUCACUCCUACGCCUAAGUUGUUUGUUGGUGAGAUAAACCAUACUGUUGGUUCAUUCAAGCAACACCCCUGGCCAGGGAAGGGCUUCAACCCACAAUAUGGAGAAGGAAAUUAGACAGCCAGGAAGCAUGGGAAUAGAGAUAGACAUAAGUACAUACGUCAUGGUUUUGUUGAAAUAAAUAGGAAAAAACUGGAAACACUGCCAUGGUUAAAUAAAUGAUCAACUGUCAUAAGAUGAAAUAAUAUGUAAUCAUAAAAAGUAUUAUAAAGCAUUUAAUUAUACAGAAAAAAUCCUAAUAUGCAUUAAGCUGUCAGAAAGCAGGCUAUAAAUAGUCUAUCCAGCAUAUUCUCAUUUUUGAAGAACAAAGGGGUUAGGAUGGGACCGGGUGUCCAGGUAAAAGAAUAUUUUGGCAAAUUUACAACUCAGAGUUGAUUUACACAUGGUUUUGCCAUCAUAUACUGGAGCUUUUUCUCCUUUGAAAUGUCUCCACUGUAAUCAAGCAAUUUUCUAAAGCAACACAAGACAAUUAACAGUUCCUACCAACUCUCCACUCCACUGUUGCUUUAGGAAGCAUUUCCCAGGCCUAUUAAACAAGAACGUGAACGCUGCUCUCACGCAGAAUAGGCGUGUGUUAUACUGAGGGGUCCUCUUUUCUUGUCCCUUAUUCUUUGAAUCACAUAUUGAGAAACUGCUAGCAAAGAAGAAAUUAAAUUCCAGAGUAAACCAGUAGAGCCGUGAGAAGAGAAAAAGAGACAUGAGAGAAAAGUUGUCUAAAUCCUGUUCACUUAAUAAUGAAAUAGAAAAGCGUAGGUGUGGAAGAAGGAUUAUGGAGCUGUUAGGGAGCUGGUCAUCAGAGUGGCAAUGAAACCACUGGCUACCAAUGGAGAGGAGGAGGAGCACCAUGCUUAGAAGGAAACCAGCAACUAGAAAAUCCAAGAAUGUAGCUUGGAGGCCGCUCAUAAUGCAGCCUCCUCAAGCAUGUGAUUUAAUUUCAUCUUGAACCACCCAAAUCCUCUCUUGAAUAUUAAAUUCCACUGAAUGGUAUUGUUUGCGGAACUCUCGUCUUCAUCCACAAAAGAGGAACAAAAUUACAAAGGCUGAAAGUAAUUACAUUUUCAAUAACCUGAAGCUACUAAUUCUUAAAUGGGUCUUCUUAAUUUCAGGGCACAGUUUUAGAAAUAUUUAACUAUUAUCUCUCCAAACUGCAUUUCAUUUUAGCAGUUGAGGAUUGAGCAAUUGAUUGGUUAUUAUUUCUGCGAAUCAAAAAUAUGAGAAUAUUUAAAAUACAAUACCCCCACGCUCUAAAUCAAACACAAAUGCAAGUUAAAUGUCUGAGAGAAACUAUGUUUCACUUUCCCAACAUCAUGGCAGACCUGAGUGCCAUGUCCUGGCAGUUUAAGGAAAGGUCUGAAGGCCUUUCCUCAAACGCCAGUGAAGCCGGGAUGGUUGAAGGGCGCCAGUCCUGCUGGAUCCUAGGCUAAGACAUGCAUGUCCCCCACGUGGUGUCACCUCGUCAUUCCUGAGAAUCGAUGAUACCUUCCCUGUGUCAGACACACAAGAACUGACCUUCCACCUUCUCAACUGGAGCCUGAACUUUCUGCUUUUGGACGUAUAAGCACAGCGUGACACAGUAGACAAGAAAGAGGGAGGCUUCCUUUUGUAGCCUAAUGAAUCAGUCUCCCAACGAGAAGACGAUUCUCUAAGAAAAAGCCACCCCAAGGGUCCCACUUAAUAGUAAAUUAUUGUUUUAGUGCAUCGAAUUGUACCCUAGAGGCCCAAAGGAAUUACGAUUUUACUUUUACAAAGUGAUUUACAUAGUGGAGUGUAAUCUGUCUCCAUAAAUCUGAAGCCUCUACAAAACAAGCCACUCCUAAGGUAACACAAAGCAAGGCAAUUUCAGUUAUAUAGUUAUUUACCACCACUCAGCUCAGCUUCCCUCAGAGUCAAAGAUAGAGAAAAUAAACACAGGCCUUUUCUUCAUUCUGCCACAUGAAAGACCAUUUUCUCAUGUAAUGCAAAAAAGGAAGGGGAGUUGCUGUAAGAGAAGAACUCCCUUCUCUCUCUCUUUCUCCCUCUUCUCUUUCUUUCUCUCUUCUCUGUCUCUCUUCUCCCCUCUUUCUUUCUCUCUCUCUCUUCUCUUUCUUCCUCUCUCUCUCCCCCUCCCUCCAGCCCUUCCUCCCUCUUUUCUUCUCUCUCUCCCUAGGCACAAUCCUGAGAUGCUUUCAGUUUGGUAUGUUCUCAGACACUGCCAGGAAGAUUUGCAACGAACAUGAGUUCUUGUGCCCACAAAUGAUGGAACAAAGCAUGUCUUACUUACAACAUAACUGCUCAUUUCACAUUUAUCUGCCUGUCCUUUGGUUUUGCAAUUUGAUGCAUAAUUGAAAGGUGAAUUUCAGGUUCGAUUAGGAGGAGAGUUCAUUACCUUGAACACAGAAUUGGUAGCUGAAAACAGAUUUUAAAUAAGGUCAAUCUUCUGUGAAUUCAAGUACUGUCUUGAGUUCACAAAACUCUUUUCAACUUGAAUAUUUAUUGCGGGUAUUUCCCCAAAGAACAUUUGUGGAAGUUGCUGCUGCCAGAAGCUGAAAAUAUAGUUCACUUAAAAGCAGCUUUAUUUAUGCAACAUUCACGCCUGUAAUCCCAGCACUUUGGGAGGCCGAGGCGGGCAGAUCACGAGGUUAGGAGAUCGAGACCAUCCUGGCUAACAUGGUGAAAGCCCGUCUCUACUGAAAAUACAAAAAAAUUAGAUGGGCAUGGUGGCAGGUGCCUGUAGUCCCAGCUACUCGGAAGGCUGAGGCAGGG
rnacentral:lncRNA from 1 species